CGUUUUCAUGCAAAUAACGCAUUUUCGGUCGUGCGCUAAUCGCCGAUUGUUAACUUGUAAAUUAAAAUUGAUGUGGCGCGAAUCGCCACAUUUCGAUUAUUAUAUUCGUUUAUAAAGGUGCGAAUCGCUGUAUACAUUUAUUAUUAUAUUCUUUUACAAGGGUGCGAAUCGCUGUAUACAUUUAUUAUUAUAUUCUUUUACAAGGGUGCGAAUCGCUGUAUACAUUUAUUAUUAUAUUCUUUACA